rfam:Omnitrophica bacterium RIFCSPHIGHO2_02_FTLL_49_9 rifcsphigho2_02_scaffold_96225, whole genome shotgun sequence.
GCGCCUGUAGCUCAACUGGAUAGAGCGUCAGCCUCCGGAGCUGAAGGUUGCUGGUUCGAGCCCAGUCAGGCGCA